rnacentral:rRNA from 1 species
AUUGAGCGCUGGCGGCAGGCCUAACACAUGCAAGUCGAGCGGAUGAGUGGAGCUUGCUCCAUGAUUCAGCGGCGGACGGGUGAGUAAUGCCUAGGAAUCUGCCUGGUAGUGGGGGACAACGUUUCGAAAGGAACGCUAAUACCGCAUACGUCCUACGGGAGAAAGCAGGGGACCUUCGGGCCUUGCGCUAUCAGAUGAGCCUAGGUCGGAUUAGCUAGUAGGUGAGGUAAUGGCUCACCUAGGCGACGAUCCGUAACUGGUCUGAGAGGAUGUUCAGUCACACUGGAACUGAGACACGGUCCAGACUCCUACGGGAGGCAGCAGUGGGGAAUAUUGGACAAUGGGCGAAAGCCUGAUCCAGCCAUGCCGCGUGUGUGAAGAAGGUCUUCGGAUUGUAAAGCACUUUAAGUUGGGAGGAAGGGCAGUAAGUUAAUACCUUGCUGUUUUGACGUUACCAACAGAAUAAGCACCGGCUAACUUCGUGCCAGCCGCCGCGGUAACAC